CUUAUAGACAUUGCAUAAGGAAACAAACUCAAACAUACUCUUCAGUUUUUCUCUACUCUCUCUAACUCUUCUAGCCUACUUACUACAAGAGUGACGACGGGUAUUUAUAGGCGACUCGUUGCUUGCUUGCGGACUUUAAAACGUACUUCAAAAUUUUAAAACCUUAUCGGCUAGUGUGGAUGUGACGGUUGUCAGGCCACGUAUGGGGGCACCUGGGCAUAUCCAAAAAAUGAGUUGUAUCAUCUAUGACGUAGAUACAAAAAGAAGCACAAGUGGAAGUUUCUCAAGAAGAAACCAUUUCGUUGCAAAACGACCGAUCGUUGCUACAUUUACAAUAAGAAAGUGCACUUCUCAAAGCAAUGCCCCAAGUGACACCGACCAAAGUAUGCAAAGAUGAUUGAAUAAGCAUUCUCUCUUCUUCUACAGAAAGACGAUGAUCUUGAAUCCGUCUUCUCCCUCUGUGACGAAUAUGACCCAUCGGCUGUCAUGGCUAUUGGGUAUGAUUCCGAAGAAGACUCAGCAAGUCAUUCUGAUUAUUCCUCUGAAAUCGAUGGUUGGGUGUCCCACGCGAUGGCCAGGUGUCCCACGCGAUGACCAAGUGUCCCACGUGAUCCCCAGGUGCCCCCAUACGUGGCCUGACAGCCGUCACAUCCACACCAGUCGAUAAGGUUUUGAAGAUUGGAAGUAUGUUUUGAAGUCCACAAGCGAGCCGCGAGUCGCCUAUAAAUACUCGUCGUCACUCUUGCAAUAAGGAGACUAGAAGAGUUACAGAGAGUAGAGAAAAAUUGAAAGAGUCUGUUUGAGUUUAUUUCUUUAUGCCAUGUCUGUAAGAAAUAAAAAUUAUUUUAAGUUCAGAAUUCGUAUUAAGAGAUUAUUUGCAUGUCGUGUUUUCAGUUUUCAUUUUAUUGGAGAUUUUAUUUCCGUAC